UACGGGGGGAGCAAGCGUUGUUCGGAUUUACUGGGCGUAAAGGGCUCGUAGGCGGUUUGUCGCGUCGGGAGUGAAAACACCGGGCUUAACUCGGUGCUUGCUUUCGAUACGGGCAGACUAGAGGUAUGCAGGGGAGAACGGAAUUCCUGGUGUAGCGGUGAAAUGCGCAGAUAUCAGGAGGAACACCGGUGGCGAAGGCGGUUCUCUGGGCAUUACCUGACGCUGAGGAGCGAAAGUGUGGGGAGCGAACAGG
rnacentral:rRNA from 1 species